rnacentral:rRNA from 2 species
UCGAGCGAACUGAUUAGAAGCUUGCUUCUAUGACGUUAGCGGCGGACGGGUGAGUAACACGUGGGCAACCUGCCUGUAAGACUGGGAUAACUUCGGGAAACCGAAGCUAAUACCGGAUAGGAUCUUCUCCUUCAUGGGAGAUGAUUGAAAGAUGGUUUCGGCUAUCACUUACAGAUGGGCCCGCGGUGCAUUAGCUAGUUGGUGAGGUAACGGCUCACCAAGGCAACGAUGCAUAGCCGACCUGAGAGGGUGAUCGGCCACACUGGGACUGAGACACGGCCCAGACUCCUACGGGAGGCAGCAGUAGGGAAUCUUCCGCAAUGGACGAAAGUCUGACGGAGCAACGCCGCGUGAGUGAUGAAGGCUUUCGGGUCGUAAAACUCUGUUGUUAGGGAAGAACAAGUACGAGAGUAACUGCUCGUACCUUGACGGUACCUAACCAGAAAGCCACGGCUAACUACGUGCCAGCAGCCGCGGUAAUACGUAGGUGGCAAGCGUUAUCCGGAAUUAUUGGGCGUAAAGCGCGCGCAGGCGGUUUCUUAAGUCUGAUGUGAAAGCCCACGGCUCAACCGUGGAGGGUCAUUGGAAACUGGGGAACUUGAGUGCAGAAGAGAAAAGC